UCCGCCUGGAAGCGGGAAUGCGGUUAAACUGUCAAAAGUGAUCGCUUUGGGGAAGAAGCGGGAGUCGCGCUGGCGGGGAGUGCGGAUUACUCAAACCAUGCGGAUAUGCCACUUAAGGAGAAGAGAACCAAGACAAUUCCCUGCCUUCUGACCUUCUUCCAAUCAAAGAAAUCCUGAGCAUGUCAGUCAAAAAGUUAAAUACCAGAAAAUGUUACAACAAUCACAGUUCUGGUCUUGUGAUACAACAGUUGUGAUUAAAAGGUGAACUAAGGGGAGGAUAUAAUCAGAGGAACCAUUUCAAGAUUGGAAAGGGUAUUAUUGGAGAAGGCAGAAUGAUCAUCUUUUUUACAGGUGGCUAUUGUGGCAUGUUUGUUAAAAAGUAGGGACUUUUGUAAUGGUAUUU